UCUAACAAAGAGUUGCAAAACUCUUGAUCUUAUAAGAUAUUGGUUCAAAGAUUUUUCUCCACAUCAUGUCUUCUUCAAGGAGCUCUUUCAUCAGUGUUGUUAGUAUGAAUGGAGGCGAUGGAGAACAUAGCUAUGCUAAUAAUUCUGGCCAUCAGAAAACGGUUUUCUCUAAAUCACAAACGCUGGUGGUAGAGAAUAUUAAAGAAACUUUAUUGGAUUUGCACUUUCCUGAAUGCAUUAAAGUGGCUGAGUUGGGCUGCUCUUCCGGACAAAACACUUUCUUGGCCAUGUCUGAAAUUGUCAACACGAUCAUAACUUUGUACCAAGAAAAGGAUCGGAACCCACCAGAAAUCGAUUGUUGUCUAAACGAUCUUCCAGAUAAUGAUUUCAAUAUGACCUUCAAGUGGGCAUGUUCUUUCCAAGAAAAUCAGAAGAUGAAUGUUAAGACAUCAUGCUUCGUCUCAGGAGUCCCUGGUUCUUUUUACUCGAGGCUUUUCCCGAGCAAAUCUCUUCAUUUUGUGCGUUCAGCUGGUAGUAUCCAUUGGCUCUCUAAAGUCCCUGAAGGGACUGAGGAUAACAAGAGGAACAUAUAUAUUAGAAGUCCUUGCCCUCCAAAUGUAUCCAAGAGUUACUUGGAUCAGUUUCAAAAAGAUUUUUCUUUAUUCUUAAAAAUGCGUUCUGAAGAAGUAGUGUCUAAUGGACGUAUGGUUCUCAUAUUCAAAGGCAGGAAUGCUUCUGAUCCUCUAUAUAGAGAGAUGUGUCAUUAUUGGUCGUUGUUGACUGAUUCCCUCCUCGACUUAGUCUCCGAGGGAGUUGUAAAGGAGGAAGAGGUGAAUUCAUUUAACUUGCCGUUCUAUGACGCGGGUGAAGAAGAGGUGAGGGAAGUUGUCCAAAAUGAAGGAUCAUUUGAGAUCAAAAAUUUCGAGACGCAUGAACAUCUAGUUCCAUACGAAGAUAGCCAGGAAGAUGACGAUGAAACAUGUCGAUUAAAAUUUGGAGAACUGAUGGCAAACAGAAAAAGAUCCAUAACCGAACCGAUGUUGGUUGCUCAUUUUGGAGAUGCUAUUAUCGACCGUCUGUUUAAGAAGUACGCACACAACGCAGCCCGACACUACAUUGUUUCAAGAAGCUGCACCAAAACGACCGUCAACUUUGUCGUUUCAUUGACUAGAAAAUAAAAGGAGACUUCGACGGGUCGACCCGCAAUAUGAAGGAUGCUGAGCAUUGCGCCAAUCAACUCCCCCCAUCCCUUUUGGUUUACAUUGAUGAUAUUAUAAGGCAUCCUCUGUAAAAUCCAAUCAAUCUGAAAGAUUUGUGGCGGAGAUUCGAGAUAUGGGGAUCAAGACUCACGUUACCAUUAAAGUUUUUUUGUGUCACUACGUACAUGUGACCUGCAAAGGUGCGGCUGUACUAAUAUUCAGGAAAUCAGGAUGCAAUUGGUUGAUUUUUUAGAGGAAAAAAUUGGAUCAGGCAAAGACAUCAAUAUAUACCUCUGAAAAUUUAUAGUAUGAAAUAAUUAAUGUAUGAUUUGAAAAUAUUUCUCUCCAUCUAUGUUCAUCAUUUCUAUUGCAUUUAUUCGUUUUAUA